rnacentral:rRNA from 1 species
GAUGAACGCUGGCGGCGUGCCUAAUACAUGCAAGUCGAGCGAACAGACGAGGAGCUUGCUCCUCUGACGUUAGCGGCGGACGGGUGAGUAACACGUGGAUAACCUACCUAUAAGACUGGGAUAACUUCGGGAAACCGGAGCUAAUACCGGAUAAUAUAUUGAACCGCAUGGUUCAAUAGUGAAAGACGGUUUUGCUGUCACUUAUAGAUGGAUCCGCGCCGCAUUAGCUAGUUGGUAAGGUAACGGCUUACCAAGGCAACGAUGCGUAGCCGACCUGAGAGGUGGAUCGGCCACACUGGAACUGAGAAACGGUCCAGACUCCUACGGGAGGCAGCAUUAGGGAAUCUUCCGCAAUGGGCGAAAGCUUGACGGAGCAACGCCGCGUGGGUGAGGAAGGUCUUCGGAUCUUAAAACUCUGUAAUGAGGGAAGAACAAAUGUGUAAGUAACUAUGCACGUCUGGACGGUACCUAAUCAGAAAGCCACGGCUAACUACGUG